ACAGGUGACUGAUAUCCAGCGAGAAGGUGAACGUGACAUAUACGCCCGUCAGCUGCAAGAAAGGAACCACGAGACAGAACCUUUGCUUCUUGGUUAAACUGUGUCUCCUCUGUGCAGUUUCUGCAAAGACGUAAAAACUGACUCCUGGGGAUAUUCUUUAACCAAAUGGUUUUUUCCACAUAUUUCAAUGGGCGUGCUGGAUUUCUUUUUGUGCUGGUACUACCUUCCUCCAACUGAAGCGGCCUAAAGCUAAGCUGACAUUUCCUAUUCUGUCUGUGGUGAUAAGGAGGAGGCUGCUGGAAAGUGAUCUGUACAGCAUUACAGUGAAAGGGUAUUGGUGGACUAUUUAUGAGCUCGGAUUCCAGGCAGGGAUCUGCUCAUUCUCCUUCAACAUCAACAAGGCAUUUUCGUCCACACAAGUGUCGCUAACUGGAUAUUUUCUCUGUAAACCCUAGAGACGGUUGUGUGUGAAAAUCCCAGUAGAUCAGCAGUUCCUGAAAUACUCAGACCAGCUUGUCUUGCACCAACAACCAUUACACAUUAAAAAUUACUUAAAUACCCUUUGUUCCCCUUUUUUUUUUUUACUUGAGCAAGUUGUCUGGACAACAUGUACAUGCCAAAAUGCAUUGAGUUGCUGCCAUGUGAUUAUCUGAUUACCUAUUAGUGUUAACAAGCAAUUGAACAGGUGUAACUAAUAAAUGGACAGUGGGGGAGAUUUAUCAAAACUUGUGUAGAGGAAGAAGAGUGGUGAAGUAAAUUCAAAUGGAUUUCUUGGCAUUUCCACUGAAAGGUGUGUUAUGUACAAACGUGACCAUAUACAACUUGGGCAAAUGUACAAAGAUCACAGAGAAGCCCAACUUACAAUGUCAUAAUAAUGUCUAAUAAUUAAUGCGGCACAAAUAUUACUGCUACAAUGUGUCAUAUGUCGUAUUUUAAGAAAAUAAUAAAAAGGAAAAAGAAAAUGAAGAAGAUAAACAAAAACACCUGCACAAACAUCAUUACCAAAAACCACAUUUAAUAUGUUCUUAGCAACCUAAUAAAAUAAAAUACAACCAUCUGACAAAUUUUGGCUCAGAAAAGACUGUUGAUCUCAAACAGUGUCACAGUUAAAUGCAGAGUCAAAGUUGUAGCAUUUUUUUUUUUUUUUUUUUUUAAACCUCCUGUAAAUAUUUUUCCAUCAAAAAGCCACUUAAAAAGGUAUGGCCGCCAGUUUUUUUUUUUGUUUAUUUAUUUUAUUUUUUAACUCCACCACAAAUACUUUUAAAAAUAUAACAGAUUUGCAACUGGUCUUAAUCCUUAAUGUAACAUUUUCUAACAUUUGUCUUCUGCAGCUUGCAUAUUUUAAAAUACAGUACAAGCUGCUGAGUGCCGUAUAGUGCUCUGUUUUGUUUAUUAAAUUAUUUUUUAGGUUUUAUCUUUAAUAGCAUUCAGGAGUGAAAGCGGAUGGCUGCACAUGGCAGAAUUUGUGCGGACAUUCCACGCGUUUGCCCAAUACGGCGGGCGCUGAUACCGAUCGGAAAUGUGCCAUUUCCUUGCGAUGUCCACAGAAAGAAUAGACAUGACUAUUCAUUCUGCAGAUGCCGGAAUUUGAAUUUCAGCGGCAGAAACAUCUGGCGCGUAAAUUCGGCAGUGUGAACAGUGCAAUCAAUGGGACUCUGUUGCAGCACAAUAUCCGGCGCAGAAUAUUCUAUGCAAAUUCCGCAGUGUAAAUUAAAAACAAUUGCACAUGUUUUAUUUAUGAAAGUACAUAUAGUCAUGGCCGUAAAUGUUGGCACCCCUGAAAUUUUUCAAGAAAAUUAAGUAUUUCUCACAGAAAAGCAUUGCAGUAACAAAAGUAUUUGCUAUACACAUGUUUAUACACAUGUAUUUGUGUGUAUCGGAACUAAACCAAAAAAGGGAGGAAAAAAAGCUAAUUGGACAUAAUGUCACACCAAACUCCAAAAAUGGGCUGGACAAAAUUAUUGGCACCCUUUCAAAAUUGUGGUUAAUAAGAUUGUUUCAAGCAUGUGAUGCGCCUUUGAACUCACCUGGGGCAAGUAACAGGUGUGGGCAAUAGAAAAAUCACACCUCAAAGCAGAUAAAAAGGAGAGAAGUUCCCUUACUCUUUGCAUUGUGUGUCUGUGUGUGCCACACUAAGCAUGGGCAACAGAAAGAUUAGAAGAGAAUUGUCUGAUGACCCGAGAACCAAAAUUGUGGAAAAAUAUCAUCAAUCUCAAGAUUACAAGUCCACUCCAGAGAUCUAGAUUUGCCUUUGUCCACAGUGUGCAACAUUAUCAAGAAGUUUGCAACCUAUGGCAAUGUAGCUAAUCUCCCUGGGCGUGGACGGAAGAGAAAAAUUGAUGAAUGGUGUUGACGCUGGUUAGUCCAGUUGGUGGAUAAGCAGCCCCAAACAAGUUCCAAAGAUAUUCAAGCUGUCCUGCAGGCUCAGGGAGCAUCAGUGUCAGCGUGAACUAUCCGUCGACAUUUAAAUGAAAUGAAACACUAUGGCAGGAGACCCAGGAGGACCCCACUGCUGACACAGAGACAUAAAAAAGCAAGACUACAUUUUGCCAAAAUGAACUUGAGUAAGCAAAAAUCCUUCUGGGAAAAUGUCUUGUGGACAGAUGAGACCAAGAUAGAGCUUUUUGGUAAAGCACAUAAUUCUACUGUUUACUGAAAACAGAAUGGGGUCUACAAAGAAAAGAGCACAGUACCUACAGUGAAAUAUGGUGGAGGUUCAAUGAUGUUUUGGGGUUGUUUUUCUGCCUCUGGCACUGGGUGCCUUGAAUGUGUACAAGGCAUCAUGAAAUCUGAGGAUUACCAAUGGAUUUUGGGUCAGACUGUACAGCCCAGUGUCAAAGCUGGGUUGGUGUCAGAGAUCUUGGGUCUUCCAGCAGGACAAUGACCCCAAACAUACGUAUAAAAGCACCCAGAAAUAGAUGACAACAAAGCGCUGGAGAGUUCUGAAGUGGCCAGCAAUGAGUCCAGAUCUAAAUCCCAUUGAACACCUGUGGAGAGAUCUUAAAAUUGCUGUUGGGAAAAGGCGCCCCUCCAAUAAGAGAGACCUGGAGCAGUUUGCGGAGGAAGAGGGGUCCAACAUUCCGGCUGAGAGGUGUAAGAAGCUUAUUGAUGGUUAUAGGAAGCGACUGAAUAAGGGAAUAAACAUGUAUAGCAAAACACGUGUCACUGCAAUCAUUUUCUGUGAGAAAUACUUCAUUUUCUUGAAAAAUUUCAGGGGUGCCAACAUUUACGGCCAUGACUGUACAAUACAAUAAAAAAAUGUUCUAAGAAGUCCAAACCUUUAAGUUUAUUGGUGUUGCAAAUGAAUAAUACAGGUGUAUAGUAUAUGUAAACUUUACGUGGCCUAUGUCUCACCGAAUAGACUGUCUUUAACGGAUAAAGAGAUUUCAAAAAGCAAAAAAAAAGCAUUACUAAUCUGCACAGGUACUUAGAAUUCCUAUGAUAUUAGCUCUUUAUAUAACUUGUGUUGAGAGCUGCACAGUAUAUCAAUUUUCAUUUUAUAUAUGUUGUUCUUUUGUUUACCUACAUCAAUGUUUUCCAAACACUGUGUCUCCAGCUGUUGCAAAACUACAACUCCCAGCAUGCCCGGACAGCCAAAGGCUGGGAGUUGUAGUUUUGCAACAGCUGGAGACAUACUGUUUGGAAUUCAUUAGCCUAAACCAUUAAAAGGGAACAAGGGUUCUGCUAAGCCCUUGAUUUUUAACCCCUGUCUUCCAUGGCAGGCCUACCCAAGACCACUCCUACAAUUUGAGGUUAUAAUCUUUUUUCUGUAUCAUUAGGGUAUGCACCUUUAUACUUUGAACUUUAUUAUUAUUACUUUUAUUGGGUUGUAUUGGUGCUGUAAACUACUAAUACAGAUAAGAGCUCGUUCACACUGCCAUUUUGCUUUGGUAAAUGGAGCUCUGUCAAUUACGAUAAAAUACCGAAUCCCCAACGUAUCCAAUUCAAGUCAAUUGGAUUCGUCAGGACCUGGUGGUGUCAGCUGACCCCAGAAGGGUCAGAGCACAACAGCAGUGUGAACUUAGCCUAAGAAAUAUAAUCCCUCUAAAGUGGAGCCAAUCUACAGUAAUUCCCCAAAACCAAAUCUACAGUAAUUCCCCAAAUCCAAAUCACAGAAAUUUUCCUUGCAGACAUUGCCCCUGUGAACAUAGCCUAAGGGUACAUUCACACGAGCGGACCCACAGCGUAUUUUUCACGCUACAGAUCCGCCACUGAAGGACCCCUGCAUGGUGGCUUUACAUGUGUAUGCUCAGAGCAGCAAUACACCGCUAUGAGCAGACACACUGCGAUGUGUGAGUCGCAGCGCGCAUGCGCAGUAUACCCGCACAUCGCGGCAGCUCUCAGCCUAGAUCAUGGAGUAAGGGGAGCAGCCGCGAUGUGUGCGAGUACACAGCGCAUGCACAGCAACUCACAUCGCAGUGUGUCUGCUCGUAGCGGCGUAUUGCCGCUCCGAGCAGGCACAUGUAAAGCCACCAUGCAGGGGUCCUUCAGCGGCGGAUCUGCACCGUAAAAUACGCUGUGGGUCCGCUCUUGUGAACGUACCCUAAGGCAGUGUUUCCAAACCAGCGUGUCCUUGGAAUCGGAACAGCAGCAGGAAGACCUGUCGCUUUAACAAAAGUCAUGGACUCAUUGUUUUACUAUGCAAAGAUACGUACCCACCAUAUGUAAAAAUAGCGCAUUAUAGAACUUUAUUUUUUUUUAGAUAGCACCAGGUCCAUUAGAGUCCGUGGCUGUGUUUCCCAACCAGUGUGCCUCCAGCUGUUGCAAAACUACAACUCCCAGCAUGCGCAGACAGCUUUUGACAAGAGUUUAUAUUUAUGACAAUAAAUAAAAGGAGGUCUGAGAACAAUGCAUCUCUCCAUGAAAUAUAAGCACCUCUAUAGGACUAAAGUAACCACCUACCUAUAUGAUUCAUACAACUGUAACUGUACAACACCGAUGGAAACAGCAACAUUGUUAGAAUAUGGAAAUAAAUACAGUUAAAAAAAAAAGAAUUUACCAAAGAAACUUUUUUUUUUUUUUUUUU